GGCUGGGUGCGUGAGUGGCUUAAACGGGCCGUCUGAUAAGCGGCUGUGCGUGAAAACGUACCGAGGGUUCGAAUCCCUCCCCAAUUC
rnacentral:tRNA from 1 species